rnacentral:sRNA from 1 species
GAUUUCAACAUUGAAAAUGUAAACAUUUCACAG